AGCACCUUUGGGAUGUGUUGGAACGUGAGAAUUGUAUCACAUGGUGCAGCCAACAAAUCUGCAGCAACUGUGUGAUGCUAUCAUGCCAAUAUGGACCAAAAUCUCU